rnacentral:rRNA from 1 species
UACGGAGGGGGCUAGCGUUGUUCGGAAUUACUGGGCGUAAAGGGCGCGUAGGCGGUUUACCAAGUCAGGCGUGAAAGGCCUGGGCUCAACCCGGGAACUGCGCUUGAUACUUGUAGACUUGAGUCCGGGAGAGGAUGGCGGAAUUCCCAGUGUAGAGGUGAAAUUCGUAGAUAUUCGGAAGAACACCAGUGGCGAAGGCGACUCGCUGGACAAGUAUUGACGCUGAGGUGCGAAAGCGUGGGGAGCAAACAGG